rnacentral:rRNA from 1 species
GGACCCGCACAAGCGGUGGAGCAUGUGGUUUAAUUCGAUGCAACGCGAAGAACCUUACCUACUCUUGACAUCCAGAGAAGCCAGCGGAGACGCAGGUGUGCCUUCGGGAACUCUGAGACAGGUGCUGCAUGGCUGUCGUCAGCUCGUGUUGUGAAAUGUUGGUUAAGUCCCGCAACGAGCGCAACCCCUAUCCUUGUUUGCCAGCACGUAAAGGUGGGAACUCCAGGGAGACUGCCGGUGAUAAACCGGAGGAAGGUGGGGACGACGUCAAGUCAUCAUGGCCCUUACGAGUAGGGCUACACACGUGCUACAAUGGCGCAUACAGAGGGCGGCGAACUUGCGAAAGUAAGCGAA